AUGAACGCUGGCGGCAUGCCUUACCCAUGCAAGUCGAACGGCAGCAUGACCUAGCUUGCUAGGUUGAUGGCGAGUGGCGAACGGGUGAGUAAUGCAUCGGAACGUGCCUUUUAGUGGGGGAUAACGUAGCGAAAGUUACGCUAAUACCGCAUAUUCUCUGAGGAGGAAAGCAGGGGACCUUCGGGCCUUGCGCUAGAAGAGCGGCCGAUGUCGGAUUAGCUAGUUGGUGAGGUAAAGGCUCACCAAGGCAACGAUCCGUAGCGGGUCUGAGAGGAUGAUCCGCCACACUGGGACUGAGACACGGCCCAGACUCCUACGGGAGGCAGCAGUGGGGAAUUUUGGACAAUGGGCGCAAGCCUGAUCCAGCCAUGCCGCGUGAGUGAAGAAGGCCUUCGGGUUGUAAAGCUCUUUCGGCUGGGAAGAAAUCGCACCCUCUAAUACAGGGUGUGGAUGACGGUACCAGCAUAAGAAGCACCGGCUAACUACGUG
rnacentral:rRNA from 1 species